rnacentral:piRNA from 1 species
UGCACCCUGCCAAAAUACAGAGGUCGCCC